CCAAUAGCGUAUAUUAAAGUUGUUGCAGUUAAAAAGCUCGUAGUUGAAUUUCGGGGUUAGUAGGUCGGUCGUGCCACUGGUAUGCACUGGUUCUACUGAUCCCUCCUUCUUGUAGAACCGUAAUGCCAUUAAUUUGGUGUUGCGGGGAAACAGGACUGUUACUUUGAAAAAAUUAGAGUGUUUAAAGCAGGCUAACGCUUGAAUACAUUAGCAUGGAAUAAUGAAAUAGGACGAUCGAUCCUAUUUUGUUGGUUUCUAGGAUUGACGUAAUGAUUAAUAUGGAUAGUUGGGGGCAUUAGUAUUCAAUUGUCAGAGGUGAAAUUCUUGGAUUUAUUGAAGACUGACUACUGCGAAAGCAUUUGCCAAGGAUGUUUCCAUUAAUCAAGAACGAAAGUUAGGGGAUCGAAGACGAUCAGAUACCGUCGUAGUCUUAACCAUAAACUAUGCCGACUAGGGAUCGGAUGAUGUUAAUUUUUUAAUGACUCAUUCGGCGCCUUACG
rnacentral:rRNA from 1 species